rnacentral:tRNA from 1 species
GGCCGCUUGGCCCAAUGGUAAGGCGUCUGACUACGACCGAACAUGAUAAAACAUGUUUGAUAAGUUAUCAGGAGAUUCUGGGUUCGAGCCCCAGGGUGGUCA